AUCCCUUAUACAUACAUACAUAUCCUAUACAUAUUACAUAUACAUGUUACAUACAUAUUAUAUAUUUAUAGCUAUCCACUACACACUUAUUACGAUCCAGCGGCAGGCAACUGCAUCCUGAAGCCCGAUCAUGCAUGAUCGCUCAUAUGAGCGAGAAAGCAAUUCCAAAGUUUAUUAUGGACAUACAUAUGGACACAUGUGUGUGCAGC
rnacentral:lncRNA from 1 species